rnacentral:lncRNA from 1 species
AAUCUACAUAAUUCUCAAUGUUGCUGUUUUUGUUUUUUUGUGUGUUUUUUUGUCUUUUUUUUGUUUUUUUUUUAUAAAAAAGGCACAGUAAAAAAAUACUGGCACGAUAACAUAUUUACAACGCACCCAUUAUGGGCUAUCUUCUCUCAGCUUCAGGUUGGAAACAUUUGGCUCUGGCUCUGCCCGCUUCUCCCUGGGGAACGCGGGCUGGCAGUGGCCACAGGGGGAUGCAGGACCCCCAUCCCUGCCCGUACUGGGCUAAAUCCAUCCCUGGCUCACGGCAAAUUUUGCUCUCUGGCAGCGUUUCCCAAACCGUUUUUGCUCCUGAUCUGCCUGGGGGAGUGGGACCCCGCUCUUAAGCCCCCCCGUGCUGGCUUUGCUGCAGGGUGCGCCCCACCUAGGAGCAGAAGCAGAGCCAGGGGAAGAGCCUGUGAUGGUGUGGGGGUGACUUCUGCUCUUUUGGGGUGCCCACCUAGCCGAGCACCUCUUGGGCACUGCAGCCACCCCAGCAGCACCCACUGGAGGAUGCUUGGUGGGGAGACACCCACACAGCCUCAGGGACAGACCCCAAAGUGCUACUUUGCAAAGGUGCAGGGUGCCCGUGCUCAGCCUGCUUGCACCCUUGGCCACCUCACUGGCAGGCAGAGAGGUGGCACCGGAGGGAGACACCUCGGCGCUGCGCAAACACAGCUCCGGAAAAGCCCUCCUCCCACCCCCCGUAUUUAUAGAAAGCCUUUAAAUUAGUCUCUAUAAAUAGUGCAUAGAUUUACACCUCUGAAAACAUUUCAGCAGGACGUAGGGAGCUCCGGGGAAUGGAGCGAAUGGUGGUGGUGCUGGGCUCGCCAAGCCACCCAUCUGCCCCAUGGUCUCCCUGAGGGGUGGCUGAUGAGCACCCAGCAGCUUUGCAGCACUGUGGUGUGUCCCAGCAUCUGCCAUGGCCAGGUUAAAAAAUACAAAAACUUUGCCUACGAGGAGCCAGAGCCUCAAUGCUGAGAUUUGGGGGCUGGGAGAAAGGAUGGGGACAGGUUAGGGGUCUGCGGGAGCAAGGAGGGGUUAGAGCUGAGGGUGGGGAGGCACACACCGAAAAACACAAAAACACCUUAACAUCUGGAAGGAAAGAAAGAAAAGCAAGCCAGGGUGAGGCAGAGCUGCACAGCACCGGCUGCCGCUCCCCACGCAUAGCGCGGGGCUGGCCGGCGGGCG